CUUUUUUCUUGUCGCCCCGCCAGCCCCUGUCUCUCUCCCUAGCCGCAUCCUCCUCCUCCCCUUCCCCUGCGGGUGCCGCAGCCUGUGCAGCCGCCUCCUGCCGUCGCCCCUGCCCUCCCGCCGCCUCCUGCACUCCGGCCUCUCCAGCAGAUUCGGGCCCACGCCGCCGCCGCACAGCCCGCCCCGCCGUCUCCGUCGCCUCCCGCCGCCGCCACAGAGGCCCUCCAGCCCGCCCCGCCAUCUCCGUCGAGGUCCGACACCGCCACGACCCGCCGCCGUCGCGCCCCAGCCUCCUGGUCGCCCCGCUUGUUAGCUGCCCAUCCCCGCACGCGACCAGGCGCCCCUUUCGCGACCCGCAGCCGCUCCUCCGCCUCUGCCCUCCCUCCAAGGCCGCCGUGCCCGCCACCGCCGUUCCUCGGGCUUCUUCUCCGCGUCCCUCCUGCAUUGACGCCACCUCUCGGGCCGCGCCUCGAGACCUCGCACCGCCGCAGCCCCGAGCCUCCCGCAUAGUCACGCUGUCGGCGUCACUCUCCAGGACAUCAGGUCGCUCAGCCAACAGCCGCCAAUGCAGUCGUCGCCCGUGUAAAAGGGCAUUGGAGGCAUCAUGGGGGGCACUCAAGGAAGGCGAAGGGAGUUAUCUGAAUUCUAUGAUGCCCGUCAAUUAGGUUCUCCUCUGACUGUAGAUUAAUUGUAAUCACAAUGGCUAUGUAGUUACCCUAUCUGUUACUUUCUAUAGCUGUUAUGGAUGGCUGGAUGCACCAUAGUUAUAUUUUGCAUCGUUGUCAAUCUGGAGUUGUCUGGGAUGGCUAGAUGAUCAUGUGCAUGGUGUCCAUUGUUGAAUGUGAGCCUACAUACACUGCUGGAACUUGCAGCUUAUCUAACCUGACAGUAGUCACAGAAAUUAUAUGGCUUUUCUGACUUUAUAUUUGUUAGACGUCUGACCUCUGAUCGUGUCAAUAGUCACGGAAAUUAUAUGGCUUUUAUGAACUUUUCCUAUGAUGUUUUCAUUACUUUCCUUAGUUUGAAAGUGACUUCUUUUUUCUGAAUUUUUACCUUGGUUUGCAAUUUUUACCUUGUAUAUUGUAGAAGGGCAUAGCGAUGGAGGUAAUGUUCGUCGUGAUGCUAGCUUAUAUAUAUCGCAGUGCUGACUCAUGCUUUAUGCAACAAUUGUUCCGUUUCAAGCUUUACCACAAAUUACCUUUCAAUUUACCUGAAUGUGUAUCCUAUUGUAUUCUGUUCAGCACUGCACUUGGAUUCAGCAUUUUCUUCUGAACUUUCCCCUCACUGCAAACCUUAUACUACCUCUCUGGGUGCAAUUCAAUCUGACCAGGUUAUGUAUACUUUUGGCAUGAGCAAGGUGGUUGAAUACAAGGCAGGUGAGCUUGUGUCGGGAAUGACCGGAUGCAAAGAUGCACUUUGAUCAAUAAACUACAGUUACUUUUCAAGAUCAAUCGUCCUGACUUGCCACUAUUGUACUACACGGGUGUUCUUGGUAUCAGUGAUACAAUCAUGGUGUGAUGAUAAGAGACACUUGAAGCAAAUGAACAUGGAAAUAGAAGGACUUUUUUAUAAAAAAGAUUGUUGCAUCAGGUUGGAUCCAUGUGUAUGUCUGUUGAUCAUUCUGGACUUAAUCUCUUGAUUCAAUUUUAUUUUCAGCAACUUGAGAUUGUUGAUGCUGCUACAUCUAGAAGCAACCUGAAAUUAUUGAUGGCCCGAUAUUUCUCCGUGGAUGUUUAGGCUUUGCAGAAGUGGCAGAAAUUUCUAUUUCUUGCGACUGACAAAGUUUGUUGCUUUACAUGCGACGUGUUAGGUUCCGUGAUUGCAGAAGCAGGUGAUAUGUAGAACUAUAUAUAUGUCAUGCAUCUUCCUUCUUUUUAUGAUUCUUUUGUCAGACAAGAAAGUGCAGUAUCUUUAUAACAACAAACGCACACACAUUGUUUAGGUGGAAUCUGCAUUCUUGUUUCACUUGGCACUUUGCAUAGUGCAGUUUUCAUGAUCAAUCUUGAUUUUUCUUAAACAGGAAUAUUUUUCUCUUGUUACUGCUUGCUGCUCUCAUUUAUUUAUAUCGAUCUCUGACUAUUGUUUGUGUUAAGAGAAACGGAGGAACCCUGAAGCAAUUAUAAUGCAUGUGUUCAAGAGAAUCAAAUCUGCGAUAGGAUGAUUUCUAGAGCUUCUAGACAUGCUUUCAUCGGGACAUGUUCUACUCCUUUCACAACGACUUUGUAUAAUGACGUCUGUACGAACACACUAGAAUGCGUAUAUUGACAAAAUUACGGCACCUAAUACCGGGCGAAGGAAGUAUAUCAUAUUUAGAAUGUGCGUGCAUGUGCUCGCUUGCUAGUAACGGAGAAAAGCUGCUUAUAUAGGCCGUUAUCCAGCCAGGAUAAGAAGGAAGGAAAGAAAAAGCAAAAUCGGAUUAGGAUGGAGGACCGUGAAAGACGGUGGAAGAAGGCACCAGGCCAUAGGAAGGAAUCGGGCAACGCCUGCAUGGACCCGAAUAAUUAACUCUCCGGGCGUAGGAAGUGAAUCUUAUCUUAUUCGCGUGCCAGACGAACAGCUCCGCCUGCCUAUUUAGAACAAAUUACACCUCCCGCUUUACCGGCCGGACCACAAACCAGAUCCGAUCGCGAUCGAGGCUGCGGCCAUGGCGAUGCUGCGUCGUGUCCGGCGGCGCAAGAGCGAGAGUACUGCGGAGGACCGCCUGAGCGCGCUCCCCGACGAUCUGAUCCGCGUCAUAACAAACAAGCUGGACACCCGCACGGCGCUGGCGACGGCGGCCCUCGCCAGGCGAUGGGCGCGCAUCCCUCGCGAGCGGCCGGCGCUGGACCUGAGGGUCAGCGACAUACUCCCGCCGCACUACAGCCGGAGUGUGGUCUGGUUAUAAUAUAGAGUUGUCGUGUUCAUUCUCAGGGACCAAAGUACUAGCAGAGUUUAGUUUCGAACAGCUCAGCCAAAUCAAAAUUUGGUUUCUGAAUUCUCAAUGAUGUGAACAGUAACUGAAAUGAAAGGCACAACGAGAUCAGCAAAACAACUAAAGAUUGGAAGUGUAUUCUUGACUUUUCACCAAGAUUUCGUUGAAGAGGUGUUGCUGCAGACGUUGCUCGAUGUAGUGGAAGCAGGAGAAAGCAGAGGGAGGAGACCGGGGCAGACUAGAGCUGCAAUUUCUUCGGUAGCUUGACGAUGGCGAUGUGUUGGAGUUCUUCUCUUCUUCCCAGUCGAUCCAGAUCUGCCCCCAGGAACGCCCUCGACCUUGCUUUCCCCUUUCUCUCCCCUUUUCUUGGAUCCAAAGCCAGAACGAAGCAUCUAAUGGAGAGGUGCUGCUUUUUGUGGGACGAUGGAGAGGAGUCGGUGGCCACGUGACUGUCUUUUUUACUGUUCGGUCCUUCUCUUAUUCUCUCUUUUCUUCUUUUUUCUUCAAGCAAAGUCGAUGCCAACAAGGUCCUUGCAAAGCUAAUGUACUUGUUUGAUUCCUCA